rnacentral:lncRNA from 1 species
AUGAGCUGUGGUGUAGGUCACAGACGCGGCUCGGAUCCCGCGUUGCUGUGGCUCUGGUGUAGGCCGGUGGCUACAGCUCCGAUCGGACCCCUAGCCUGGGAGCCUCCAUAUGCCAUGAGCGCAGCCCUAAAAAGACCAAAAAAAAAAAAAAAAAAAAAAAAGCAUAAGCAGAAGAGAGGAAGCAGAAAGAAAGGAAGGAAGGAAAAGGAGAAGAAGGAAAUCCUGUCUUGGGCUGCUUUCAGGUGGCAGUGCCCGGCACUCUACCCACUCUCCAGGCUGCUGAGGUUAAUAGUUGGUCAGAGCCCAAGAGCCGUGAGGCUCUUCUCACGUCUGCUCCUGGGCACAGCUACUGUGGAUUCGGAAGCACGGAGGCAUCCGCUUAAGGGAACCCCUUUCCACUCUGCUCUUAGUUUCCAGAGAUGGAGUCUCUUGCCUUUGGCUGAAAUGAAAACCCAGGUUUUCUUUUUCCCUCCCAAAUUGAUACACCGGACCCUCGGAUGCCUUUGAGAACUGAAGGAGCUUGAUGGCCGGUCCCUGCGAGCCAGUGCCGAAUUGGCAGCUGCUGGGUCGGAGGUAGGAACGUCUGGAUUGUGCAGUCAGACACUAAUACCCCGGGAGCUGGAAGCACAGGGGUUGGUCCUCCUGUCCAAAGGAACAAGGAAACGCUGUCUCGGGGAGCUCCUUUCGGGGGAGGGGUGGGCAUUCUCUUGCUCUUAUUAAUGAUUUUAACUGAUGGAGCCACACUGCAGCCUCUCAACUCUGCAGGAAAAAAAACCCUAAUGCCGGUGAAAGUGGAGACAGUUUGCCCCGUGGUGUGAAAGGUGAAAGACUUGCCUUGUGCAGGCAACGGACUGCAUUUUCAAGAAUUUGCGAAUAGGUCUUAGAAUAACAACAGAAUAUUCCCAAGGACUGUUCUUUUGAAAACUUGGUCCGGUGGACUCAGCCGAGCAGGAGAGUCAUCAUAUGCUUACCAGCAGCAUCUAAUUAUGGGCAGAGUUUGCAGCCUGCGUGCCACCUGAUGGGAACCUGCAGAUCACAGCUUAGCUGUAGCUCUGACUGCCAGCCAGCAUCAAUGUUCUGUUCUUUAACUCAUCAGAGAAGUAAUAGUCA